UGGGGGAAUUUUGGACAAUGGGCGAAAGCCUGAUCCAGCAAUGCCGCGUGUGUGAAGAAGGCCUUCGGGUUGUAAAGCACUUUUGUCCGGAAAGAAAUCCUUGGCUCUAAUACAGUCGGGGGAUGACGGUACCGGAAGAAUAAGCACCGGCUAACUACGUGCCAGCAGCCGCGGUAAUACGUAGGGUGCAAGCGUUAAUCGGAAUUACUGGGCGUAAAGCGUGCGCAGGCGGUUUGCUAAGACCGAUGUGAAAUCCCCGGGCUCAACCUGGGAACUGCAUUGGUGACUGGCAGGCUAGAGUAUGGCAGAGGGGGGUAGAAUUCCACGUGUAGCAGUGAAAUGCGUAGAGAUGUGGAGGAAUACCGAUGGCGAAGGCAGCCCCCUGGGCCAAUACUGACGCUCAUGCACGAAAGCGUGGGGAGCAAACAGGAUUAGAUACCUUGGGUAGUCCACGCCCUAAACGAUGUCAACUAGUUGUUGGGGAUUCAUUUCUUAGUAACGUAGCUAACGCGUGAAGUUGACCGCCUGGGGAGUACGGUCGCAAGAUUAAACUCAAGGAAUUGACGGGGUCAUAGCUGUUUCC
rnacentral:rRNA from 1 species